CUAAGAGAAGAAAAAAAAUAUGAGAAAGGGAAGAGAAGAAAGAGCAGAAGGUACAGAGGAAAAGAAAAGAAGGAGAAAGAAAAAGAGGAGGUGGAGAAAAAGGGAAAGAGAAAUUUUUACACAAAAGGUACAAAGCAUGUGACUUUCCCAGCAGUGCUUAGCUAAAAUGUAAGUAGAGAGAAGUAUAUUGGGAAUGCACAUAUAAAAAUACUAAUAAAUAUGUUUUCUUUUUCAACUUCCUUGUACUUUUUCCCUAAUUAAUUAAAAGAAGUUUUUGGUUUUGAAGGAUUUGAAUUAUUAAUGCAGAAAUGCAAAGAGAAAAGAACAUUAUCAUUAGUUCCACUUUUAAUUUGAAAACUUGAGUUAAAUUACUUUUAGCUUAUUUCCAAAAUAAUGAUUUGAGUGUAAGAGCUACUCUAUAUAAAUAUUUUAAAAUAAAAAUUUUGAGGAAAGAAAAAACAGCUUGAAGAAGUAGGACAAGACUAAAAGGUGAGUGGGGGAAUGAGGUAGAUAUAUAUCAUCUCAGAUACAAACUUUACAUACAAAGUGUCUUAACUCAUAAUUUAUUAUAAUAACAGGUACUAAUAGGUGUUAUAGUUUUAAAGCUUUGAAGUAUAUGCAUUAUUUUUUCAAAGAAAAUAUAAAGAAUUUAGAACAUGGUAUAUUCCAUUUUCUUAAAAUAUCUCACAUUAUUAUCAGGCAAAAUGACUUGCAAACAGUAAGACAAAAUUGCUUGAAAAUGGUCCCAAAUUAUCUUUCUUUUGCAAUUUUUAUUUGUUUCUUUUCUGUUAACAUUUUUGGCAAGAUGAUAAUAACUCUAAUCCUCUUCUUUUUUCUAGUAAUAGUUUUUCUAAUCAAUCGGAUACUAAUAUUAUAAUUAAGACUUGAUCAAAACCCUGAAAUAAGGACAGCUAUGAUUCAAGUUGUCAGCUUUAAAUGUAUAAUGGAUCACGUGAGUGGCUGGGUAGCAGAUGGGGAAACAGAAGAUCUAAGAAAUUAAUGACAUUUCAGCCCUCUGUUCUCUGUGUGUUUUAUGUAAGAAAGGGUUUGUAAUGCUACAAUCCUGAGCCAAAUUGUACUUCAUUAAGAAAAUCUUGAGUUUUUUUAAAUUUCUCUCUUUGUUUUAGCAAAUGAGCAAAACUUUUGAAAACUUUUGAAUUUGCUUAUUCUCAUACUUUGCAUGUCUUUUCUAGCAUUUGCCAAGAAAAAAAAAAUUGUAGAAGAGUUUUAAAGUGACAAAAAUUGCCAACUUUUUUUUUUCUUUUAAUUCUGUGGAGAUAUGCAUUUUUCAUGGUUUGAGCUAUUUUAUUCUUUAAUAUGAUCUGGAAAAUCGAUAGUGAUAUAAAUAAUUUCUUUUUCAGAUAAAUGAAAGUGAAUUUUUGUCCAAAGGAAGUACAAUAGAGUCUCACCUUCUCUUCUGAGGAUACAUUUUUGCAUGUAUUAAGUUCAUUUUACGUAUUAAGUUCAUUUAAACAUUCCUGUUUGCCCAUGUAUGCACAUACUUAUUGAAUUAUUUUUUUAUCCAGAUUAUGUCAUUUUUAUUAUUCCCUCAUUCCUGAGCUACUUAAAUCAAACACUUGACAUAUGUUCAUUUUAUAUUUAUAUUUUACCUUUGUAAAAGUUUUUAAAAAUUAUAUAAUAAGAUUUAGGAAACAAAAACUAUGAAGAUUAAAGAGAGGUUCAUUUUAGGGGGUGAAAAUUAUAUCAUGUUUAUUAUCUGGCUUCUAAGUUAGAAUCAUUAUCAGAAAUAUUUGUGAUCGUCAAUUUCAUUAAUUUGACUGUAUUAGAGAGGUCCAGAUAGCUCAACUGAUGUUGAUAUUUCUGGGUCUGUCUUUAGUGUUUUUAUGGAAUUUAGCAUCUGAAUCAGUCAACUGAGUAAUGAUGAACUGUUACCAAUGGGAAUGCAUCUCCCAAUCUACUGAAGAUUCAGAAAAGAUGAAUUCUGUAAUCCUUUCUCCUGAGCCAUGACCUCCAUUUUUUCCUGCCCUUGUACAUCAGAGCUCCAGGUUCUCAGGUCUUCAGUCUAAGUGGAAGUCUGCCUAUGACUUCUUGUGUUCUCAGUCUUGCCAAUGGCACAUAGUAGGAGCUAUCACCCUCAGUAAUUACAAUAGUCAAUUUCCAUUAUAAAUUUCUGUUGUGUGUGUAUAUGUGAUUUAUCUCUUGGGAGAACAUAGACUAAUGUGUGAUGCAAACAGGAAGACUUCUUAAAGAAAUGUUGACUAAAAACCAAGGGAUGUGUUCAUGUUGACUAAAAACCAAGGGAUGUGUUCAUGUGAGUUGUGUUUUAUUUAUCAAUUUAUUUAAAAAAUGAAGUCAAUGAUGUAUUAUUAUUAUCUGAAUAGUAAAAUUUAUAAAUUUAAAACAAAUGUGACAUCAUCCUUUUGUAUAUGAUUGAUCUUUGAAAUUAGUUCCCAUUUCUUAGGAUUUGUAAUUUUCUCAAGAGUAGUGUAUUUUUAUUUUUAACUUGUAUUUAUACUGAAGUGUAUUUGGAAUAUCCUGAAUUGCUCACACAGAGAUGCUACAGAGCUUCAACUCGACUUAAUGCCUUUUGAAGAAACUUUCCAAUAAGCUAAUAUUUUCAUUAACCAACUUGACAACUAGAAUGAAUCAUUGCUUUGAAGUGCUCAGAGACAGAGGCUGACAGGUCCAUUGUUAAUUUCUCAGUUCAAAGGCACCAAGAAGUCUGCCCAGUUGUCUGGUGACGCCCUGUUUAAAGGGAAAUUCCACGGUCCCUUUAUAUCAGUUCAUGACCUAAGGUUCAGGUGCCAGUGGCCUGUGGGUGGAGAAUUGUGGGUGCAAGAUGAUGGUGUGAUUGGGCUGUUCAAUCUUUUGACCUUACUUCUGUUUUAAAGUAACUUUCUCACAAUGAAUCCCUUUGAUGCAAAAACCCUAUAAAAUAAAUGCACUGAGCCUGCUCUUUAUCAGUCCUCCUCCAUCAGAGGUUGGCUGAAUCACUGGUCCUGUUUUCUCCAUUUCUGUCUUUGCUCUUUUUUUUUUUCCAGAUCCCUCAUCAACCCGGUUCAGGGAAACUGAGUAAACGGUCAUUUUGGAAGUGAUAACUAAACACUUCAUUUUCCAUACUGAUAAUGUUUGUAAUGGUAAAAUGCUCAAAAUCAAAACAAUUUUGUAUAUUAAUUAUAUCAACGCUUCUAAGAGAGAUACAUCUAUAUGUAAACCUAUAUUUAAUUUUGUACAUAUUUUCUAUUAUAUUUCUAUUACAUAAUAUACUUUAUUUGCAGGUUCACCUCCACUUAAAGGUUGAAGCUCUGUAUUUCUUUUGAAAUGUGAAUUCUCCAAAGAGUGGUUGACAUAACAUAGACCACAAUGAGUUAUUAGCUUCUUUGGGUAAAUGGUGACACUAAUACAUUAAUUCACAGUAUUCACCAUUUUUACAUAUCAGGAUGUUUUUCUUCAUAUUGAUAUUAGAUUCUGUUCUGAGUACACAGAAAAUAUGGUAUUAGUGCAAUUUUACUACAUAACACCAAUUUAAAAUUUUCAACCACUUUCAUAGAUAGUAUAACCCAUUUAAGAAUUUUCCUCAGGGAUGUGUGCUUAUUGUUUGAAUAUCCAUGGAAGUUUUUGGUGUGCAGUGACAUUUCUUUAUUCUCAUAUAUUGUUUAUUAUUAUUAUAAAUUUUCUAAUCAUUAUUACAUUUUAUUUUAAAUCAUUUAAGUGUGUAACAUGAGAAAUAUUUAACAGUCAUUUUAAGAAUCAAAAUUUUCAAACCUUAAAAUUUAU
rnacentral:lncRNA from 1 species